AGGGGUGGGCUAACAAACCUCAAUAACAGACACUUUAAGCUAUCGCUGUACGCUAUGACUGCGUGCUGUGCGUCGUACGCGUCUACCCUGUGAAAAGGGGGGUUGCCUGUUAAANNGGCUGUGUUAAAUUGGGGCUCAAAUAUAGCGUGGGUGGUGGAGGGGGAGUUAGGUUAACCGCCANCCAUCUUAAGAAUUAAGAUUGGGUCCCCAAUCAACUAUCUAUUAGUAANUUGUAUAGGGGGGGGAGAAAUAAAACUGUAAUAAGAAAUGGGGGGGCGGAUUGUAUUAUGGAGAUAUCAAUCGGCGAAGUCUGGGCCCUCCCUCUGGGCUAGGUGAAAANUAACAGAAAAUAUGAUAAGGGGGCUGCAUAAGGGGGGGUUAAGUGUGGGGGUCAUUAUAGCGGUUACUUGUUCCACAUCUACGCAGGUGUACGGGCUGCACGGAUGGGCGGCGGUGCUUCACAUNUCCCAUAAAUGUGGCCGGGCCGGGGUGCGGACACGCCUUGGAUAUAGCGGAGGAAGGUGUGGAUGAGCUCCACUCAGCAUGGCCGUUAUGUCCAGGGNUACACAGCGUGUUACAAUGCAUGCCACAGAGUGUCGCGAACCCGCGAGGGGGAGCUAAUCGCAAAAAAGCAUGCUCAGUUCGGAUUGCAGUCUGCAACUCGACUGCAUGAAGCCGGAAUCGCUAGUAAUGGCGUAUCAGAACGACGCCGUGAAUACGUUCCCGGGCCUUGUAUACACCGCCCGUCACAUCACGAAAGUGAGCUGUACUAGAAGUCGCCAAGCUAACCGCAAGGGAGCAGGCGCCCAAGGUAUGACUCAUGAUUGGGGUGAAGUCGUAACAAGGUAA
rnacentral:rRNA from 1 species